rnacentral:rRNA from 1 species
UACAGAGGUCCCAAGCGUUGUUCGGAUUCACUGGGCGUAAAGGGUGCGUAGGCGGUCGGGUAAGUUUGAUGUGAAAUCUCCGGGCUUAACCCGGAAAUGGCAUUGAAUACUAUUCGGCUAGAGAGUCGGAGGGGGGACUGGAAUACUUGGUGUAGCAGUGAAAUGCGUAGAUAUCAAGUGGAACACCAGUGGCGAAGGCGAGUCCCUGGACGAUUUCUGACGCUGAGGCACGAAAGCUAGGGGAGCAAACAGG